rnacentral:rRNA from 1 species
AACGAACGCUGGCGGCGCGCCUAAUACAUGCAAGUCGAGCGAGAAGGUGUAGCAAUACACUUGUAAAGCGGCAAACGGGUGAGUAACACGUGGGAACCUGCCUCGAAGUGGGGGAUAACGAUUGGAAACGGUCGCUAAUACCGCACGGUUCUGCUCUGAUGGGAAUGGAGCAGAUAAAGAUUUAUCGCUUUGAGAGGGGCCCGGGCCGAUUAGCUAGUUGGUAAGGUAAAGGCUUACCAAGGCGAUUAUCGGUAGCUGGUCUGAGAGGACGAUCAGCCACACGGGAACUGGAGACACGGUCCCGACUCCUACGGGGGGCAGCAGUGAGGAAUAUUGGGCAAUGGGCGAAAGCCUGACCCAGCAACGCCGCGUGGAGGAUGAAGGCUUUAGGGUUGUAAACUCCUUUUGUGGGGAAAGAAUGGAUGGUACCCCAAGAAUAAGUCACGGCUAACUA